UACAGAGGGUGCAAGCGUUAUUCGGAAUCACUGGGCGUAAAGCGUUCGUAGGCGGUUUGUUAAGUCGAAUGUGAAAGCCCUGGGCUCAAUCCAGGAAGUGCAUUCGAUACUGGCAAGCUAGAGUGCAGGAGAGGAAGGCGGAAUUCCAGGUGUAGAGGUGAAAUUCGUAGAUAUCUGGAGGAACAACAGAGGCGAAGGCGGCCUUCUGGACUGUCACUGACGCUGAGGAACGAAAGCGUGGGGAGCAAACAGG
rnacentral:rRNA from 1 species